UAAAAAAAGAAACAGAGAGAAAAAGAAAGAAAGAAAGAAAGAAAGAGUGUCUUUCGUUCUUCGUUUCUCUUCUCUCUGCUUUGGUCCGCUCUGUUUCUUCUUUCAUCCCUUCUUCUUUCAUUAAAAGGAGAGGAAAGGAAGGAAAGAAAGAA
rnacentral:ribozyme from 1 species